CAGUAGCCGCGGUAAUACAGAGGGUGCAAGCGUUAAUCGGAUUUACUGGGCGUAAAGCGUGCGUAGGCGGCUUUUUAAGUCGGAUGUGAAAUCCCUGAGCUUAACUUAGGAAUUGCAUUCGAUACUGGGAAGCUAGAGUAUGGGAGAGGAUGGUAGAAUUCCAGGUGUAGCGGUGAAAUGCGUAGAGAUCUGGAGGAAUACCGAUGGCGAAGGCAGCCAUCUGGCCUAAUACUGACGCUGAGGUACGAAAGCAUGGGGAGCAAACAGGAUUAGAUACCCGCGUAGUCCCUGUCUCUUAUAC
rnacentral:rRNA from 1 species